rnacentral:rRNA from 1 species
UACAGAGGCCACGAGCGUUAGGCGGAAUCACUGGGCUUAAAGCGUGUGUAGGUGGAUCGGUAAGUACCUUGUGAAAUCCCGCGACUCAAUCGUGGAACUGCUUGGUAUACUGCCAGUCUUGAGGCACUCAGGGGCAAGCGGAACAGAUGGUGGAGCGGUGAAAUGCGUAGAUAUCAUCUGGAACGCCAAUGGUGAAGACAGCUUGCUGGGGGUGUUCUGACACUGAGACACGAAAGCCAGGGGAGCAAACGGG